rnacentral:rRNA from 1 species
AUAUGGUCAAGCGAAUAAGCGCACACGGUGGAUGCCUAGGCGGUCAGAGGCGAUGAAGGACGUGGUAGCCUGCGAAAAGUGUCGGGGAGCUGGCAACAAGCUUUGAUCCGGCAAUAUCCGAAUGGGGAAACCCACUGCUUCGGCAGUAUCCUGCAGUGAAUUCAUAGCUGCUGGAAGCGAACCCGGUGAACUGAAAUAUCUAAGUAACCGGAGGAAAAGAAAUCAACCGAGAUUCCCUAAGUAGUGACGAGCGAACGGGGAGCAGCCCUUAAGCUGGAAUGGCUUUAGAAAAACAAUCUGGAAAGAUUGGCCAUAGAAGGUGAUAGCCCUGUAUUUAAAAGGGCCACUCCAGUGAAGACGAGUAGGGCGGGGCACGUGAAACCCUGUCUGAAUAUGGGGGGACCAUCCUCCAAGGCUAAAUACUCCUGACCGACCGAUAGUGAACCAGUACCGUGAGGGAAAGGCGAAAAGAACCCCGGAGAGGGGAGUGAAAUAGAUCCUGAAACCGUGUGCGUACAAGCAGUAGGAGCUCGCAAGAGUGACUGCGUACCUUUUGUAUAAUGGGUCAGCGACUUACUGUUCGUGGCAAGCUUAACCGUAUAGGGGAGGCGAAGGGAAACCGAGUCUGAUAAGGGCGCAUAGUCGCGGGCAGUAGACCCGAAACCGGGUGAUCUAGUCAUGGCCAGGGUGAAGGUGCCGUAACAGGUACUGGAGGCCCGAACCCACGUCUGUUGCAAAAGACGGGGAUGAGCUGUGAUUAGGAGUGAAAAGCUAAUCGAACCCGGAGAUAGCUGGUUCUCCUCGAAAGCUAUUUAGGUAGCGCCUCGGACGAAUACUACUGGGGGUAGAGCACUGUUAUGGCUAGGGGGUCAUCGCGACUUACCAAACCAUUGCAAACUCCGAAUACCAGUACGUACUAUCCGGGAGACACACGGCGGGUGCUAACGUCCGUCGUGAAAAGGGAAACAACCCAGACCCACAGCUAAGGUCCCAAAUUCACUGCUAAGUGGAAAACGAUGUGGAAAGGCAUAGACAGCCAGGAGGUUGGCUUAGAAGCAGCCACCCUUUAAAGAAAGCGUAAUAGCUCACUGGUCGAGUCGGUCUGCGCGGAAGAUUUAACGGGGCUAAGCAGUGAACCGAAGCUUGGGGUGCAUAAAACUUGUUUUAUGCGCGGUAGAGGAGCGUUCCGUAAGCCUGCGAAGGUGGAUUGAGAAGUCUGCUGGAGGUAUCGGAAGUGCGAAUGCUGACAUGAGUAACGAUAAUGCGGGUGAAAAGCCCGCACGCCGAAAGCCCAAGGUUUCCUUGCGCAACGUUAAUCGACGCAGGGUUAGUCGGUCCCUAAGGCGAGGGCGAAAGCCGUAGUCGAUGGGAAGCAGGUUAAUAUUCCUGCACCUCGCGUGAGUGCGAUGGAGGGACGGAGAAGGUUAGGUGUACCGGGCGUUGGUUGUCCCGGGGAAAGGCGGUAGGUUUGGAUCUUUGGCAAAUCCGGGAUCCUUUAAGACCGAGCACCGAGACGAGCCUUUAUGGCGAAGUCACUGAUACCACGCUUCCAGGAAAAGCUCCUAAGCUUCAGCUCACGAAGACCGUACCGUAAACCGACACAGGUGGGUAGGAUGAGAAUUCUCAGGCGCUUGAGAGAACUCGGGUGAAGGAACUAGGCAACAUGGCACCGUAACUUCGGGAGAAGGUGCACCCUUUUUGGUGGCUCAUGCGAGCUAUAGCUGAAGAGGGUCGCAGAAACCAGGCCGCUGCGACUGUUUAUCAAAAACACAGCACUCUGCAAACACGAAAGUGGACGUAUAGGGUGUGACGCCUGCCCGGUGCUGGAAGGUUAAUUGAUGGGGUCAGCCGCAAGGCGAAGCUCUUGAUCGAAGCCCCAGUAAACGGCGGCCGUAACUAUAACGGUCCUAAGGUAGCGAAAUUCCUUGUCGGGUAAGUUCCGACCUGCACGAAUGGCGUAACGACAGCGGCGCUGUCUCCACCCGAGACUCAGUGAAAUUGAAAUCGCUGUGAAGAUGCAGCGUUCCCGUGGCAAGACGGAAAGACCCCGUGAACCUUUACUAUAGCUUUACACUGAACGUUGAGUUCGUCUGUGUAGGAUAGGUGGGAGGCUAUGAAACUGUGGCGCUAGCUGCAGUCGAGCCAUCCUUGAAAUACCACCCUGUCGUGCUUGACGUUCUAACCUAGGUCCGUUAUCCGGAUCAGGGACCGUGUAUGGUGGGUAGUUUGACUGGGGCGGUCUCCUCCUAAAGAGUAACGGAGGAGCACGAAGGUACGCUCAGCGCGGUCGGACAUCGCGCACUGUGUGCAAAGGCAUAAGCGUGCUUGACUGCAAGAUCGACGGAUCAAGCAGGUACGAAAGUAGGUCUUAGUGAUCCGGUGGUUCUGUAUGGAAGGGCCAUCGCUCAACGGAUAAAAGGUACUCCGGGGAUAACAGGCUGAUACCGCCCAAGAGUUCAUAUCGACGGCGGUGUUUGGCACCUCGAUGUCGGCUCAUCACAUCCUGGGGCUGUAGUCGGUCCCAAGGGUAUGGCUGUUCGCCAUUUAAAGUGGUACGCGAGCUGGGUUCAGAACGUCGUGAGACAGUUCGGUCCCUAUCUGCCAUGGGCGUUGGAAGUUUGAGAGGGGCUGCUCCUAGUACGAGAGGACCGGAGUGGACGAACCUCUGGUGUUCCGGUUGUCACGCCAGUGGCAUUGCCGGGUAGCUAUGUUCGGAAGCGAUAACCGCUGAAAGCAUCUAAGCGGGAAGCGCGCCUCAAGAUGAGACUUCCCGGGGCACAAGCCCCCUAAAGGAACCAUGUAGACUACGUGGUUGAUAGGUCAGGUGUGUAAGUACAGCAAUGUAUUGAGCUAACUGAUACUAAUGAUCCGUGCGGCUUGACCAU